CCUACGAGUGGCAGCAGUGAGGAAUAUUGGUCAAUGGCCGGGAGUCUGAACCAGCCAAGUCGCGUGAGGGAAGACGGCCCUACGGGUUAUAAACUUCUUUUGUCAGGGAGCAAGGUGCAGGUCGGGACCUGCUGUGAGAGUACCUGAAGAAAAAGCAUCGGCUAACACCGUGCCAGCAGCCGCGGUAAUACGGAGGAUGCGAGCGUUAUCCGGUUUUAUUGGGGUUAAAGGGUGCGCAGGCGGCGGCACAAGUCAGCGGUAAAAGCGCGGGGCUCAACCCCGCUCCGCCUUUGAAACUGUGUCCCUUGAGUGCGCGAAGGGUAGGCGGAAUGCGUGGUGUAGCGGUGAAAUGCAUAGAUAUCACGCAGAACUCCGAUCGCGAAGGCAGCUUACCGGCGCGCAACUGACGCUCAGGCACGAAAGCGUGGGUAUCGAACAGGAUUAGAUACCCUUGUAGUC
rnacentral:rRNA from 1 species